CCUACGGGAGGCAGCAGUGAGGAAUAUUGGUCAAUGGACGGAAGUCUGAACCAGCCAUGCCGCGUGCAGGAAGACGGCUCUAUGAGUUGUAAACUGCUUUUGUACAAGGGUAAACCGGAAUACGUGUAUUCAGCUGAAAGUACCGUACGAAUAAGGAUCGGCUAACUCCGUGCCAGCAGCCGCGGUAAUACGGAGGAUCCAAGCGUUAUCCGGAUUUAUUGGGUUUAAAGGGUGCGUAGGCGGAUUGAUAAGUUAGAGGUGAAAUGUCCGGGCUUAACUCGGGAACUGCCUCUAAUACUGUUGCUCUAGUGUGUAGAUGCGGUAGGCGGAAUGUAUGGUGUAGCGGUGAAAUGCUU
rnacentral:rRNA from 1 species